CAGAGGGUAGUUUAAUUUAGAAUCUUAGCUUUG
rnacentral:tRNA from 2 species